rnacentral:rRNA from 1 species
UACGGAGGGAGCUAGCGUUGUUCGGAAUUACUGGGCGUAAAGCGCACGUAGGCGGCUUUGUAAGUUAGAGGUGAAAGCCCGGGGCUCAACUCCGGAACUGCCUUUAAGACUGCAUCGCUUGAAUCCAGGAGAGGUGAGUGGAAUUCCGAGUGUAGAGGUGAAAUUCGUAGAUAUUCGGAAGAACACCAGUGGCGAAGGCGGCUCACUGGACUGGUAUUGA